AAUGAACGCUGGCGGCGUGCUUAACACAUGCAAGUCGAACGAGAACGGCCCUUCGGGGUGUCAGCUAAGUGGCGCACGGGUGAGUAAUGUAUAGCUAACGUGCCCCAUGGAGAGGGAUAACAGUUGGAAACGACUGCUAAUACUUCAUACUCCGUUUUGACACAAGUUGGAACGGGAAAUGUUUUUCGCCAUGGGAUCGGGCUAUAUUGUAUCAGCUAGUUGGUGGGGUAAAGGCUUACCAAGGCUAUGACGCAUAGCUGGUCUGAGAGGAUGAUCAGCCACACUGGAACUGAGACACGGUCCAGACUCCUACGGGAGGCAGCAGUGGGAAUAUUGCACAAUGGGGACCCUGAUGCAGCACGCGCGUGAGAUGACGCAUUUCGGUGUGUAAACUCCUUUUUUAAUCAGAGAAGAUUAUGACGGUAUCUGAUGAAUAAGCUCCGGCUAACUCCGUGCCAGCAGCGCGGUAA
rnacentral:rRNA from 1 species